GAUGAACGCUGGCGGCGUGCCUAACACAUGCAAGUCGAACGGAAAGGCCCUGCUUUUGUUGGGUGCUCGAGUGGCGAACGGGUGAGUAACACGUGAGUAACCUGCCCUUGACUUUGGGAUAACUUUAGGAAACUGGGGCUAAUACCGGAUAGGAGCUCCUGCUGCAUGGUGGUGGUUGGAAAGUUUCGGCGUUUGGGGAUGGUCUCGCGGCUUAUCAGCUGGUUGGUGGGGUAGUGGCUUACCAAGGUUUCCACGGGUAGCCGGCCUGAGAGGGUGACCGGCGACAUUGGGACUGAGAUACGGCCCAGACUCCUACGGGAGGCAGAGGUGGGGAUUAUUGCACAAUAGGCGGAAGCCUGAUGCAGCAACGCCGGGUGCGGGAUGACGGCCUUCGGGUUGUAAACCGAUUUCGCCUGUGACGAAGCGUGAGUGACGGUAAUGGGUAAGAAAGCACCGGCUAACUACGUG
rnacentral:rRNA from 1 species